rnacentral:lncRNA from 1 species
AUGCUCAGGCGACCGGAGGUCGGCGUGGGGUUGGGAAGCGGCCUCCCGGGCGGUCCUGGCCGUGAUGUCUGGCGGCAGGAGGCGCCGAGAGGCCGGGAUGCGCGUCUUCCAGGUCCCGGGGCUGCCCCAGGUCGUCCCCACCCGGCGCGGCGGCGGCCUCAGCUGCUGCCCGCGGGGUUGCGCCGGGUCCUCCCGCGCCGGCCCCUCCCCGAGGCCGUAGCCACCGCCUCGCCCGGGGACCCCGCGGGGACCGCCCCGGGUUCAGUCCUGCGGUCCUGCUGCGCUCCUCGGGUCCCUGGGUGCCCCCCGCCCGCGGGCCUCGCGGAGCUCUCCGACCCCGGGGCCCAGCUCCGGGGGCGCAGCCGCACCUGUUACCCGAGUCCGCGGGCUCCGGGGGCGCAGAGCCGGUGCUUCCCUGGGGCUCCGGCGGCGGGCGCGGGGGCCUGGCGGGGCGGCUGGGCUCCGGGCUCCGGGCUCCGGGGUCUGCCGCCAGGGGGGACGGGGGGCCACGGACACGCGCGGCCGCCCACCUGCGGGCGGCGCCUCCAGCAGCCACGGCCCGGCGGCUGCGCGGCCCGGUCGGGGGGGAGGAGGGGGGCGGGGGGACGGAGGGAGCGGAGCAGGGGUGAGGGGGUGAGGGAGCGGGGCGGGUGUGGGGGGGGCGGGGAUGAGGGAGCGGGGCGGGGCAGCCGGUGCACCAGACAGGGGGAGCCGAGCGGGAGGGGGGUGAGGGAGCGGAGCAGGGGUGAGGGGGUGAGGGGGGGCGGUGUGCGGAGCCGGGCCGUGGCGGGCACCGGAGCCGGGGUAGGGGGGUGCGGAGCUGCGGCGGGCGGGGGUGCAGAGCCGGGCGGGGGGGCGAUGCGGAGCCGUGCGGGGGUGCGGAGCUGCGGGGCGGCCCCUGGGGCGGCGGCACUUGGAGGUCGGGGUGUGGGCGGGGCCCGGGCCCCGCCCCCGCCCCCGCCGCGCUCCCCGCCCCGCCCCAGGCCCGCCGCCCAGCGCGCUCCGCGCCCCCCCGCCCCCGCCCGUCGCCCCACUGUCCCGGGUGCUGCUGCCUCACGGCAGGAAACACAACCCAGGAGUUCGGGACGGGAGCCCCCGCGGCCCCCCCAUGCCCUCCUCCCCCCGCCCUCCUCCCCCCCCCGCCCCGACCCCAGGGGCCCUGCCCUCCCCUCCAGCCUGCCCUGA